GAAAGACGGCUGUAACGGAGUGCUUCGCGCACGGGCUGGAGG
rnacentral:ncRNA from 1 species